rnacentral:lncRNA from 1 species
CCCGAUCAUCAGAUUCUGAAACUCCGAAGAUGCUCUUACCAACUGCACAGAUGCCUGCGGCUGCUGCUGCAUGGCCUACACUAUUUCGGUGAGGUCUCUGACUUGCUGAACCAGUAAGUCGAACUACUCCAUAACGACUGUCGUUACCAGAGGAGGAGGAGCCUGAGAAAUUGGAGACAAGGCCGGAGCUUGCGAAUCUCGCUGAGAUCUGGCUGCGGAGGCUAUGGAUGCCUUUCGGGGAGGCAUCAGGUGGAGAUCUGGUAGGAGAAGAAGAAGAAGAUGUUGAAGAAGAU